rnacentral:rRNA from 1 species
UUCGUGGUCCAGUUGGCAUGAUGGGUAGGAGAGCGUCGUGUUGGCUUAGAAGCCGCAGGGUAACCUAGUGGUGGAGCCUACACGAGUGAGAAUGCAGGUAUGAGUAGCGAAUGACAGGCGAGAAACCUGUCCGCCGAAUAACUAAGGGUUCCAGGGUCAAGCUAAUCUUCCCUGGGUAAGUCGGGACCUAAGGCGAGGCCGACAGGCGUAGUCGAUGGACAAGGAGUUCAUAUUCUCCUACCCGCAAAAAAUCGUUCAAACUGACAGCGUAAUGCUAAGAAUCCAGAUGGAGAUGACUUACUUCGGUGAAGCUUCUUUCUGAUGCGUUCGAACCAAGCGUCUUUAGGUUAGCGCAUUAACAGGAGUGACGAAGAAAGGUAGUCAAGCGUGGCGAUGGUUGUCCACGUUCAAGGAUGUAGGGUGAACAGUAGGCAAAUCCGCUGUUCGUAUAGCCUGAGGUCUGAUGUCGAGUACAAUGGUACGAGUUUGACAAUCCUAUACUUCCAAGAAAAGCUUCGGCGCGAGGUUUUAGCGGCCCGUACCCUAAACCAACACAGGUAGUUAGGUAGAGAAUACUAAGGCGAUCGAGAUAAUCAUGGUGAAGGAACUCGGCAAAAUACAUCCGUAACUUCGGGAUAAGGAUGACCUGAAUUGUGAAGCCCCUUGCGGGUGAAGCAUGAAGGGUCGCAGAGACCAGGGGGUAGCGACUGUUUAUCAAAAACACAGGUCCGUGCUAACUAGAAAUAGGCUGUAUACGGACUGACGCCUGCCCGGUGCUGGAAGGUUAAGAGGAAGUGUUAAACUUCGGUUGAAGCACAGAAUUUAAGCCCCAGUAAACGGCGGUGGUAACUAUAACCAUCCUAAGGUAGCGAAAUUCCUUGUCGGGUAAGUUCCGACCUGCACGAAUGGCGCAACGACUUCCCCACUGUCUCCACCAUGAACUCGGCGAAAUUGCAUUACGAGUAAAGAUGCUCGUUACGCGCAGAAGGACGAAAAGACCCCGGGACCUUUACUAUAUCUUGGUAUUGGUGUUCGGUACAUUUUGUGUAGGAUAGGUGGGAGACUGUGAAGUAGGCACGCCAGUGUUUAUGGAGUCAUCGUUGAAAUACCACUCUGAUUGUGUUGAAUUCCUAACCUAGCUCCGUAAUCCGGAGUAGGGACAGUGCUUGGUGGGUAGUUUAACUGGGGCGGUUGCCUCCCAAAAAGUAACGGAGGCGCUCAAAGGUUCCCUCAGUCUGGUUGGCAAUCAGGCAUUGAGUGUAAGUGCACAAGGGAGCUUGACUGUGAGACUGACAAGUCGAGCAGGGACGAAAGUCGGAACUAGUGAUCCGGCCGUGGAUUGUGGAAUCGCGGUCGCUCAACGGAUAAAAGGUACCCCGGGGAUAACAGGCUGAUCUUGCCCAAGAGUCCAUAUCGACGGCAUGGUUUGGCACCUCGAUGUCGGCUCGUCGCAUCCUGGGGCUGGAGUUGGUCCCAAGGGUUGGGCUGUUCGCCCAUUAAAGCGGCACGCGAGCUGGGUUCAGAACGUCGUGAGACAGUUCGGUCUCUAUCCUCUGUGCGCGUUUGAAACUUGAGAAGGCCUGUCCCUAGUACGAGAGGACCGGGAUGGACAAAUCUCUGGUAUGCCAGUUGUUCCGCCAGGAGCAUGGCUGGUUAGCUACGUUUGGAAGGGAUAACCGCUGAAAGCAUCUAAGCGGGAAGCCUGCUUCAAGAUUAGGUUUCAUUGGGGUUUAACCCCUGAAGACUCCCAGUAGACGACUGGGUUGAUAGGCCAGAUGUAGAAGCAUGGUAACAUGUGCAGCUGACUGGUACUAAUUGGUCGAAGACUUCUUUUAU